rnacentral:rRNA from 1 species
AUUGAACGCUAGCGGGAUGCUUUACACAUGCAAGUCGAACGGCAGCGCGGACUUCGGUCUGGCGGCGAGUGGCGAACGGGUGAGUAAUGUAUCGGAACGUGCCCAGUAGCGGGGGAUAACUACGCGAAAGCGUAGCUAAUACCGCAUACGCCCUACGGGGGAAAGCAGGGGAUCGUAAGACCUUGCACUAUUGGAGCGGCCGAUAUCGGAUUAGCUAGUUGGUGAGGUAACGGCUCACCAAGGCGACGAUCCGUAGCUGGUUUGAGAGGACGACCAGCCACACUGGGACUGAGACACGGCCCAGACUCCUACGGGAGGCAGCAGUGGGGAAUUUUGGACAAUGGGGGCAACCCUGAUCCAGCCAUCCCGCGUGUGCGAUGAAGGCCUUCGGGUUGUAAAGCACUUUUGGCAGGAAAGAAACGUCGCGGGCUAAGACCCCGUGGAACGGACGGGACCUGCAGAAGAAGCACCGGCUAACUACGU